UACGUAGGGUGCGAGCGUUGUCCGGAAUUAUUGGGCGUAAAGAGCUCGUAGGCGGCCUGUUGCGUCCGCUGUGAAAUGCCGGGGCUCAACCCCGGGACUGCGUCCGAUACUUCCGAGCUGGAGGUAGGUGGGGGAGAUCGGAAUUCCUGGUGUAGCGGUGAAAUGCGCAGAUAUCAGGAGGAACACCGGUGGCGAAGGCGGAUCUCUGGGCCUUACCUGACGCUGAGGCGCGAAAGCUAGGGGAGCGAACAGG
rnacentral:rRNA from 1 species